CCUACGGGUGGCUGCAGUGGGGAAUAUUGGACAAUGGGGGCAACCCUGAUCCAGCCAUGCCGCGUGUGUGAAGAAGGCCCUCGGGUUGUAAAGCACUUUCAGUGAGGAAGAACGCCUGGUGGUUAAUACCCAUCAGGAAAGACAUCACUCACAGAAGAAGCACCGGCUAACUCCGUGCCAGCAGCCGCGGUAAUACGGAGGGUGCGAGCGUUAAUCGGAAUUACUGGGCGUAAAGCGCGCGUAGGUGGCUUGAUAAGCCGGUUGUGAAAGCCCCGGGCUCAACCUGGGAACGGCAUCCGGAACUGUCAAGCUAGAGUGCAGGAGAGGAAGGUAGAAUUCCCGGUGUAGCGGUGAAAUGCGUAGAGAUCGGGAGGAAUACCAGUGGCGAAGGCGGCCUUCUGGACUGACACUGACACUGAGGUGCGAAAGCGUGGGUAGCAAACAGGAUUAGAUACCCUGGUAGUU
rnacentral:rRNA from 1 species